rnacentral:rRNA from 1 species
AUUGAACGCUGGCGGCAUGCCUUACACAUGCAAGUCGAACGGUAACAGGUCUUCGGAUGCUGACGAGUGGCGAACGGGUGAGUAAUACAUCGGAACGUGCCCGAGAGUGGGGGAUAACGAAGCGAAAGCUUUGCUAAUACCGCAUACGAUCUCAGGAUGAAAGCAGGGGACCGCAAGGCCUUGCGCUCACGGAGCGGCCGAUGGCAGAUUAGGUGGUUGGUGGGAUAAAAGCUUACCAAGCCGACGAUCUGUAGCUGGUCUGAGAGGACGACCAGCCACACUGGGACUGAGAAACGGCCCAGACUCCUACGGGAGGCAGCAGUGGGGAAUUUUGGACAAUGGGCGCAAGCCUGAUCCAGCCAUGCCGCGUGCAGGAUGAAGGCCUUCGGGUUGUAAACUGCUUUUGUACGGAACGAAAAGACUCUGGUUAAUACCUGGGGUCCAUGACGGUACCGUAAGAAUAAGCACCGGCUAACUACGUGCCAGCCGCCGCCGUAACAC